rnacentral:lncRNA from 1 species
CAGGCUUUUUCGGUUUUCUGCUUAGAAAGGUCUUAGUCACUUUAAAAUAACAAAACAAUGGUCACCCAUGUUUUCUUUCAUGACCUCUGUGGUUUCUUUUUCUAUUUAUGUAUUUUAUUUAUCUGGAAUUUAUUAUAUUAUACAUGUGAGGCAGGGGUGAAUUUCGUUUUUACAAAGAGAUAGCCAAUUUAGAUGUUAAGAACUUGGUGAGAUUCUAGACCCUCUUUCACUGUCCUGUGGUUUGAUUUUUGCUAACAUCUGUUUCCAUGGGGUGAUUAGAUAGGUUAGCAGGAAAGUGGUUGGUGUUUGUCUUCAAGUUCAGGGUCACUCCAGAAAGAGAGAAGAAGCAAGACCGGGACAGUCUUCAGACAACAUUGGGAAGAUGGUGUGCGGUGCCCAGAGGAGGGGAAGCAGGGCUCUGGAAUCAUCUUCUAUGUGACCUUGGGACGGCACAGAUCAUGCAUCUGGGUGCAAUGGGUGCCCCGAGAAUGCCCCGCGGAUCGGCGACGGUGGAGAGCCGGGCGUGGUGCCAGCCUAGGGCCAAGCCUCCCGGGACCUCAGCAGCUUCAGCCCCUGAGGAGCCCGAACGGACUCCCACUUAUGAAAGGAAGUGGAACUAGGCCGCAGAAGCCUCUUCCCCCGGGUCACUGACCGCUUUGAGAGUGGUUUCUUGGAAGUCAGGCUGGGCUUCAGGGCGAUGCCAGCCCAUCAGAGCCCUCGUAGCAGCUGGCUCCCGACGCUGACAGAGUCUCAGCCCAGGCCUGGCUGGGGGCCAGGCUGCCUCCCACCCCUCCAGGGACACAGCCAGCUUCUGUCGGCCCUGGCCAUCUGCUCUCACCCUCCCCAUACCUAAUCCUGGUGCAGAGGGAACACAGGCCCCCAGCUCCCCUUCUCUUCCCACCCUGAAGACAAGCACAUGCCUUUUAAAGGGUUUACCACUGACCCUUUCAGGGAAAGCGCAGUGAGUAACAAAGGCAUCCUGCAUGUUUCACAUGUUUCCGACUUUAAGCAUCUGUUAGAUUCCCGGCUCCUGGAUGACUGCCUCCACUCCGCUACCUGCAGAGGGUGGGUGAUCUUCUUGUCUGACUUGCCUUAAAGGGACCCACCUACCCCAGGACAGGUGACCCCACCAAGGUAGGACCCUCCUCACCACUACCCCUCCCACAGCUGAGGCGUGUUCUCUGCCUCUCUGAAGUGACUCCAGCUCCCAGGGCUGUGGCUUUGUCCAGAAAUGAAAGACGUGAUCACUCUGGUUUCUCUUCUGCAGAUUAGACUCAGGCAAUAGCGGCCCAGAUGUGCACGCCUCAUACAGCCUCUGUGGCUGCUGUGGAGGGAAUCACUGUGCUUAGGGGCCAGAUCAUUCACCACUGCUAGUAUGGGCCAGGCUGAGGAUGAGUGAUGUGAUAUAUACUCCACUGAAGGAGCACCCACAGGGGAGAAAGUGCUGGAAGUG